AACCGGAUUAGAUACCCGGGUAGUCCCAGCUGUAAACCAUGCCAACUCAGUGAUGCAUUGGCUUGUGGCCAAUGCAGUGUUGCAGGGAAGCCGUUAAGUUUGCCGCCUGGGAAGUACGUACGCAAGUAUGAAACUUAAAGGAAUUGGCGGGGGAGCACCACAAGGGGUGAAGCCUGCGGUUCAAUUGGAGUCAACGCCAGAAAUCUUACCCGGAGAGACAGCAGAAUGAAGGUCAAGCUGAAGACUUUACCAGACAAGCUGAGAGGUGGUGCAUGGCCGUCGCCAGCUCGUGCCGUGAGAUGUCCUGUUAAGUCAGGUAACGAGCGAGAUCCCUGCCUCUAGUUGCCACCAUUACUCUCAGGAGUAGUGGGGCGAAUUAGCGGGACCGCCACAGUUAAUGUGGAGGAAGGAAGGGGCCACGGCAGGUCAGUAUGCCCCGAAACUCUGGGGCCACACGCGGGCUGCAAUGGUAAUGACAAUAGGUCCCAAAUCCGAAAGGAGGAGGUAAUCCCUAAACAUUAUCACAGUUAUGACUGAGGGCUGCAACUCGCCCUCACGAAUAUGGAAUCCCUAGUAACUGCGUGUCAUUAUCGCGCGGUGAAUACGUCCCUGCUCCUUGCACACACCGCCCGUCGUUUCAUUGAAGUGAGCUUUUAGUGAGGUGACGUCUGAUUGGCGUUAUCGAACUUGA
rnacentral:rRNA from 1 species